GAUUUUUCCUUCUCUUUGCUUGCAGCUGCUCACAUAUGGCUUGAACUCAGUGUUCAUAAUCCUUUCACUGCUCGAACUGGCAAUAUCUCUCACUGCUGUGGUGGUUGUCUUCAAGUCUACAAGGCAGCAGUCCUAUAGACAAAUGGUAUCAAGAUAGAAAAGAGCCUUCUCUCAACUCUCUCUGUCACACCACUUGCAACAGCACUGAGCACAGACCUAAAGGUCUUCCUUGCCUGCCAACUGAGACCUUCUUACAGAUGCUUCACCUUUCCCAGGUGGACUCUGGUCAUCAGAAGAAGAAACAAUUUCUGUGUUCUGAUGAAGUUUUGUUGUCCAGAGAAGAAAAACCCUAUGCCAGUUUGCGCUGCAAACUCUCCUUCAUCAGAAAGACCAUUCAGUAAUACCAGAGCCUUCCUCUAUACUUCUGUUCAAUAUCAGGAGAGUAUAUUUUCUAUAGCUUCAAAAGCUCAUUUUUGAAGCUCUCCUGCCUGUCUCUGGGAGAUAGCUAACCAUGUUCUCCUCUGUUGUAACUAGGGUAUUAUGUUUAAGAGACAGAGGGCAGUGAAUGAAUUGACCAAACAGUCCCUGGAUUUUUCUGGACUUUUUCCAACACCACUUUCAGUCAUGGAAGUGGCAUUGGAAGGAUCUCUGUAGUGGUAUAUACCAAAUUGAAAGUCCAUGUUAAUUUUUCAGAAAAAAUAUGGGAGUUAGAGCCAAUCAGUAAACGAAUAGCUUGCUUCUGGAGCUUUCUGGAAAAAUCAGUGUGGGUUUUUCAGCAUAUGCAUUGUUAUCCAUGUUUAUUCUUUCAUAGGAAGAAUCCCAGUUAAGUAUUCUCAGGGAAAGUGUUGCAUCAAUGCCUACUGCUGUUUCUAACCAGAGGAUAAAGAUCCAUUUCAAAAUCUCCCUGAAGACAUACACCCGCCAAAGACGCUUGAAGCUUGUCCCAGUACUCUAGACAAACAGUGUCCCAAUUACCACUUCUUAUAAGGGACACUGAACUAUGCCACUUAUAUAGCCACCCAUUGGCUUGCAGUAAUUCACUAGAGGGGAGAAUUUGACAGCAGAUAACUCCAGUCUACUUCUAGUGUUACUUGAAGAUAGCUGGAAAUUGCUUCACAGAGAUACCCAGAAGAUUAUGGGUUGGAUCCAAAGGUGCCUUCUACUCAUACAACAGGGAGCUAUUCUUAGACUCCAUGGAUUCCUACUUGAGAAGCAGUCCUCCAUAUGGCAUCUCAUACUCUUCAUGAGGGUCCCCUGACCUUAGGAGCAUAUUCUUGAGUGGUGUGGUGGUUUACAGAAAACAUUGGGAAGUGGGAAGAGAUCUGUUCCACAAGUGGAAGUCCUACUUGCCAUUCUCAAGACUACACUCAGUGAGAAUAAAUGCUGUAAAAAAUGUUAAUGUUGUGCACAGCCCUCAUUCAAAGGCAGACAGGCUGAUGGUAGAGAGAAAGAGAAGUCUCCUUAGAUUAUUGUGUUGCAUUAAAGAAGCAGGGAAGAAAAGAAGACUGCAGAUCAGAGACUCAGAGCGCCUUACAAUCGCCUAUAUCUUCUCCCUUUUAAGGGUGAAUAUAAUAGAUACAGUACACAGGAAAAUUAAUCACUAAUGUGCUAUGUUCAGCAAAAAGCCAAGACACACUUCUCAAGUGUGUAGAACCAAUGAGAAUAAUUCAAUAGUGGCGUUCCAUUUAAUGGAAAUCAGAUGAGCUAUUUUGAUCAGGAACUUGACAAAACACAUUAAAUGAGUGAUGGCAUGCAGUAUUGAUUCCCUACGAUAAUAGAAAUAAGGAAAGAUUGUAAGUUGGUCCAUGCAUUCAGCAGAAUGAAACCAUUUUUGAAUUCAGCAAAAUUACGUGAUUAUUCUAAAUAAUAUAACUUCAUGUAAGGAUGAGACUAUACACAUGAAUGCGCUCCCAUGGGAAAAAUCCCCACAUAGAAAAACAGCAUGUCGGGGAGAAGUUCAGGCUGCACUCAUCUCCAUUGCAUGUUAGUUUUUUAUGGGCAAGAAGGUUUUUAGAAUAUAGAACAUUCAAGAAGAUAGUUCCCCUUCUGCAUUCUGAAGUAGUGCAUUCCAGGAAAAGCUAUGCCACAUUUCUACUAAUUGUGCAAAUUGGCCCGUAUAUCAAGAAUUUACUUACAGUAAGAUCCAAGAGGGCAGCCGUGUUGGUCUGAAGUGGUUGAACAAAGCAGGAGUCAAGGGGCAUCUUUAAGACCAACUAAUUUUUAUUUAGAACGUAAGCUUCUGUGUGCUCUUAAGCACACUUCAUCAGAUGAGGAAUUUAUUUUCAGUAAAACAUAGCAUGAGAACUGCUACUGCUACAAGAAAUGUUUCAUUGACUAUAUCUGAUUCCUUUUGUUGCAUCACUUAACGAGAACCCUGUUAUAUUGACUGCAGAAUGUUCACUCUGUUAGUGUCUGUUAACUAGGCUUCAAGUAUUUUGAGAACUUUAUCUAAAGGCUGGAUCUGCCAAGCAGACGCUAGUUUGUAUGCAACAAUACAUUCAUUAGUGUUUGAGAUAUCAUUUGUCAUUUUAGGAAGCAGCACUCUAAUAUGGAACCUCUCUGGAGUUUGUCUUCAAGAAUUUAAGAGAUAUUUCAGCAAGAUUCUUUUGAGGGACCAUGCCUGAAAUUACUGUUGUAAUUUAAUAACUUCAGAAGGAUUAUUACACGUAUAUGUAUGGGAAUGAUCUAGGCAACUGUACUGUAGUGUUUUAAGAGGCAGCCUGAAUUGUGAACCAGUAGAUCUCUGGUUCUAAUCUCAUAUCUGCUAUGAACUCACUGGGUGGACUUGCACAAAUCAUACCUUAGCUAUAUUACUAUUAAGGAAUCUGGGCUCUACUUAAUUGUGGACAGAGGUGGGAAAUUGUGGAAAUUUUGAAGCCAAUGGGAGAAAUUUGUUCCGGGGGUGGGUCGGAAUUUGGGGGGAAAUGAAAUAUAUGCAAUACUUACUUUUUCAUCAAAACUAGGCUUGCUUUACAGCUUUAACUGCAUAAAAUCCAUAAUUUAUAACAGCUAUAAAAUUGUCUUAUUUAACAAUUUAUGGAAUUUAUUAGAAGUAUAAAUGCCUUAGUUUUCUAUAAGCAAAAUGGUGACUACAUGAGAAAAAGAGAGAGAAUUAAAAACUGCUGCAUCCUAUGUUACCUAGGACACAUAUUUUAGGUUUUGCCAUCUGAGAAGAAAGUAAAACAAAUUUCAUAAUAAACAGAAGUGUGGUAUCUGGACAGAAAGAGUCUCAAACAUUCAUAAACAUGCUAGCAACAUAUUUAGAUAUCAAGUUCAAAUUUAUAACAUGGAAAACACAACGCUUCAAUUGGGUAGUAUUACCAUUCUCAUAGCAUAUUAAUUUAGCCUUGGCGAGAUGGGCAGGAUAUAAAUCCCAUCAAUCAAUCAAUAAAGCAAUUCGGUACAAAGUAAGUCACAUGUGAACAACAUCUGAAAAUGUUUUAUGUCUACCUUAUACACAGGAAUUAGUACCUGUAGAUUGUCCCUUUUUAUUGGAAAUAAAAAAAAAAAACUCCCUAGGAAAUACCCCCCCCCCCCACCAAUUGCUCUAGUUUUGGAUGAUGUGAAUAGAUAUGGGUCAGUUAAGAUAUAACAUCCUGCCAUUGUUUUCAUCUGGACCAGGCCAUAGCCUAUUGCUUUUCCAUUUUUUACACAGCUGAAAGUGUCUCCUAUAAAGGAAAAUGGCAAGAAAAGAAACAGUUAUUGCAUUUAUAACAUAGUACAUAAAUGUGAGCAACUGUACUAACUUUACUUGAAUUACACAUCACAGAAAGUAACUCCGAAACCAUUCCCCUAGAGCUGCACAGAUAAGUGAUUCACUAGCAUGGUGUAUUCAAUGGAAUCUCUUUGUGUCUGGCUUGAAUCAAUUUGCUUGUAUUUAUAUAGUAUCACUGGCUUAACCAUGAGGAUUAUACAGCUCCUUUCAGCCAUGUGUCUUCUAUAUUCCAAUUAAAAUACUUUGGUCACUC